UACCAGCACCCCGCGUGGUCGGGACGAUUAUUGGGCCUAAAGCAUCCGUAGCCGGUUUUACAAGUCCCCCGUUAAAUCCAGCUGCUUAACAGAUGGGCUGCGGAGGAUACUAUAAGACUAGGAGGCAGGAGAGGCAAGCGGUACUCAGUGGGUAGGGGUAAAAUCCGUUGAUCCAUUGAAGACCACCAGUGGCGAAGGCGGCUUGCCAGAAUGCGCUCGACGGUGAGGGAUGAAAGCUGGGGGAGCAAACCGG
rnacentral:rRNA from 1 species